UACAGAGGGUGCAAGCGUUAAUCGGAGUUACUGGGCGUAAAGGGUGCGUAGGUGGUCUUUUAAGUUGGAUGUGAAAUCCCCGGGCUUAACCUGGGAACUGCAACCAAUACUGGGAGACUGGAGUACUGUAGAGGGUAGUGGAAUUUCCGGUGUAGCGGUGAAAUGCGUAGAGAUCGGAAGGAACACCAGUGGCGAAGGCGGCUACCUGGACAGAUACUGACACUGAGGCACGAAAGCGUGGGGAGCAAACAGG
rnacentral:rRNA from 1 species